GGGUUGUGAGGUUAAGUGACUAAGCGUACACGGUGGAUGCCUAGGCAGUCAGAGGCGAUGAAGGGCGUGCUAAUCUGCGAAAAGCGUCGGUAAGGUGAUAUGAACCGUUACAACCGGCGAUACCCGAAUGGGGAAACCCAGUGUGUUUCGACACACUAUCAUGUCAUGAAUACAUAGUGGCAUGAGGCGAACCGGGGGAACUGAAACAUCUAAGUACCCCGAGGAAAAGAAAUCAACCGAGAUUCCCCCAGUAGCGGCGAGCGAACGGGGAGGAGCCCAGAACCUGAAUCGGCUUGUGUGUUAGUGGAAGCGUCUGGAAAGUCGCGCAGCAAAGGGUGAUAGCCCCGUACACUAAAAUGCACAGGUCGUGAGUUCGAUGAGUAGGGCGGGACACGUGACAUCCUGUCUGAAUAUGGGGGGACCAUCCUCCAAGGCUAAAUACUCCUGACUGACCGAUAGUGAACCAGUACCGUGAGGGAAAGGCGAAAAGAACCCCGGCGAGGGGAGUGAAAUAGAACCUGAAACCGUGUACGUACAAGCAGUGGGAGCACCUUCGUGGUGUGACUGCGUACCUUUUGUAUAAUGGGUCAGCGACUUAUAUUUUGUAGCAAGGUUAACCGUAUAGGGGAGCCGUAGGGAAACCGAGUCUUAACUGGGCGAAUAGUUGCAAGGUAUAGACCCGAAACCCGGUGAUCUAGCCAUGGGCAGGUUGAAGGUUGGGUAACACUAACUGGAGGA
rnacentral:rRNA from 1 species